CAGCAGCCGCGGUAAUACGUAGGGUGCAAGCGUUAAUCGGAAUUACUGGGCGUAAAGCGUGCGCAGGCGGUUUGUUAAGACAGAUGUGAAAUCCCCGGGCUCAACCUGGGAACUGCAUUUGUGACUGGCAAGCUAGAGUGUGGCAGAGGGGGGUGGAAUUCCGCGUGUAGCAGUGAGAUGCGUAGAUAUGCGGAGGAACACCGAUGGCGAAGGCAGCCCCCUGGGCCAACACUGACGCUCAUGCACGAAAGCGUGGGGAGCAAACAGGAUUAGAUACCCCGGUAGUCCCUGUCUCUUAUAA
rnacentral:rRNA from 1 species